rnacentral:ncRNA from 2 species
GCUCGCCGGUCGGUUCGCGGUAGCGUCCCGAUGAUAUUGACGAUGACAUGACGGAAGCCGGUGGGAUCCCGGCGCGGUCGCGCCACUGUAUGUCCGGUUUUGACUCAGCCCCACAGGGGCCGGGACCGGGCAAGCCAGACCCGCCAUGUCGUCCGGCGCUCC